CUGUUUUAUGUUCUUGAUCAGCUCCAGCUUCAAGCAAAAAACGAACCAUAUCUAAAUGGCCUUUGUAGCAUGCAAGUGUAAGUGCACUUUCUUUGAACUCGUUGGAGUGAGUAUUGAUUCCUGCACCAUAUUCCAGCAAUACUCUUGCAACCUCAACAUGACCUGCACUGGCUGCUUCCAUUAAGGGAGUAUGCCCAUUCUCAUUAUGGUCUUCUAUAUUAGCACCUGCUUUCAAU
rnacentral:lncRNA from 1 species